rnacentral:rRNA from 1 species
AUUGAACGCUGGCGGCGUGCCUUACACAUGCAAGUCGAACGGCAGCACGGGAGCAAUCCUGGUGGCGAGUGGCGAACGGGUGAGUAAUAUAUCGGAACGUGCCCAGUCGUGGGGGAUAACGCAGCGAAAGCUGUGCUAAUACCGCAUACGAUCUAAGGAUGAAAGCGGGGGAUCGCAAGACCCCGCGCGAUUGGAGCGGCCGAUAUCAGAUUAGCUAGUUGGUGGGGUAAAGGCCCACCAAGGCGACGAUCUGUAGCUGGUCUGAGAGGACGACCAGACACACUGGAACUGAGACACGGUCCAGACUCCUACGGGAGGCAGCAGUGGGGAAUUUUGGACAAUGGGCGCAAGCCUGAUCCAGCAAUGCCGCGUGCAGGAUGAAGGCCUUCGGGUUGUAAACUGCUUUUGUACGGAACGAAACGGCCCUUUCUAAUACAGGGGGCUAAUGACGGUACCGUAAGAAUAAGCACCGGCUAACUACGUGCCAGCCGCCGCAGUAA